rnacentral:rRNA from 1 species
UUCUACGGAGAGUUUGAUCCUGGCUCAGGAUGAACGCUAGCGGUGUGCCUAAUGCAUGCAAGUCGAACGGGAAGCUUUGGACUCGUCUGAAGCGGAGAGUGGCGAACGGGUGAGUAACACGUUGGUGACCUACCCCAAAGAGGGGGACAACCAUUGGAAACGAUGGCUAAUACCCCAGAUGUAUAACUAUUUAGAAAGGUUAUACUAAAGCUCCGGCGCUUUGGGAGGGGCCUGCGGUCCAUCAGCUAGUUGGUAAGGUAAAGGCUUACCAAGGCAAAGACGGAUAGGGGGCGUGAGAGCGUGACCCCCCACACUGGUACUGAGACACGGACCAGAUACCUGCGGGUAGCAGCAGCAAGGAAUAUUGCCCAAUGGACGGAAGUCUGAGGCAGCAACACCGCGUGGAGGAUGAAGGCCUUCGGGUCGUAAACUCCUUUUCUGGGGGAAGAGAAAGGACGGUACCCCAGGAAUAAGUCUCGGCUAACUACGUGCCAGCAGCCGCGGUAAAACGUAGGAGGCGAGCGUUAUCCGGAAUUAUUGGGCGUAAAGCGCAUGCAGGCUGUUAUCAAAGUCGGACGUGAAAGCUCCUGGCUCAACUGGGAGAGGCCGUUCGAAACUAGGUAACUUGAGGAUGGUAGAGGUAAGUGGAAUUCCCGGUGUAGUGGUGAAAUGCGUAGAUAUCGGGAGGAACACCAGUGGCGAAGGCGGCUUACUGGGCCAUUCCUGACGCUCAGAUGCGAAAGCUAGGGGAGAGAACGGGAUUAGAAACCCCGGUAUUCCUAGCCGUAAACGAUGUCAACUAGGCGUAGGUGGUUAUUGACCCCAUCUGUGCUGCAGCUAACGCGUUAAGUUGACCGCCUGGGGACUACGGCCGCAAGGCUAAAACUCAAAGGAAUUGACGGGGACCCGCACAAGCAGCGGAGCGUGUGGUUUAAUUCGAGGCUACGCGAAGAACCUUACCAGAGUUUGACAUAUGCGUGGUAGGGAAGAGAAAUCGGAACGACCCUUCGGGGAGCGCAUACAGGUGCUGCAUGGCUGUCGUCAGCUCGUGCCGUGAGGUGUUAGGUUAAGUCCUGUAACGAGCGCAACCCUCGUCGUUAGUUAUAAGUGUCUAACGAGACUGCCGGUGAUAAGCCGGAGGAAGGUGGGGAUGACGUCAAGUCAGCAUGGCCUUUAUAUUCUGGGCUACACACACGCUACAAUGGCCGGUACAAUGGGUAGCCAAGCCGCGAGGCGGAGCCAAUCCUACAAAGCCGGUCUCAGUUCGGAUUGCAGGCUGCAACUCGCCUGCAUGAAGUCGGAGUUGCUAGUAAACGCGCGUCAGCACAGUGCGUUGAAUACGUUCCCGGGUCUUGUACACACCGCCCGUCACGUCAUGGAAGUUGGCAACGCCUGAAGUCAGUGAGCUAACCAAAAGGGGGCAACUGCCUAAGGCGGGGUCGGUAACUGGGACGAAGUCGUAACAAGGUAGCUGUAGCGGAAGCUGCGGCUGGAUCACCUCCUUUUA